ACGGGGCUAAACCAUGCACCGAAGCUGCGGCAGCGACACUAUGUGUUGUUGGGUAGGGGAGCGUUCUGUAAGCCUGCGAAGGUGGCCUGUGAGGGUUGCUGGAGGUAUCAGAAGUGCGAAUGCUGACAUAAGUAACGAUAAAGCGGGUGAAAAGCCCGCUCGCCGGAAGACCAAGGGUUCCUGUCCAACGUUAAUCGGGGCAGGGUGAGUCGACCCCUAAGGCGAGGCCGAAAGGCGUAGUCGAUGGGAAACAGGUUAAUAUUCCUGUACUUGGUGUUACUGCGAAGGGGGGACGGAGAAGGCUAUGUUAGCCGGGCGACGGUUGUCCCGGUUUAAGCAUGUAGGCGGAGGUUCCAGGUAAAUCCGGUACCUUUUAACGCUGAGGUGUGAUGACGAGGCACUACGGUGCUGAAGUAACAAAUGCCCUGCUUCCAGGAAAAG
rnacentral:rRNA from 1 species